AGAGCUAAAGAUAGAAUUGAGGGCAGCGUUUUAAGGCAGCAGCAGCAGCAGACCUAUCUGGCCAAGUGGGGAUGGGGGAGCUAAGCCAAAGCUGCAGAGCAUGGGCCGGGGAAUGAGAAGACCUCCUCGGAGCAGUCACGGUGUCCCCUCUGCAACCAGCCAUUCCCAGCAGAGGCAACAGCGGUUCCUUCUGUGGACAGAGACCUGAGCGGGGCUGACAAGGAAAAGCCCACAUCGUCAGCUUUGCGGUGCCCUCAGGCCAGUGUUCACAGGCUCCCACAGCGCCAGGGAAGGCUAGAAGAUGAGACCCAGAGCCGGAGGAGUCAGGCCGUCUGCUGGGAGCCUGCAAGGCUCAGACCUGUGGGGUCGGGGAGGGUGGUUAACAGAACCCGGAUGUUGCCUGUAGUCCUUGAGGCUGCGUGGGGUCACCAUCAGACCAUACCCAUCCCGAUUCCCUGCCCAUCUCUGGGCUACCUGUUUCUCUUCACCGCUCCUGGGAUGGGCUAGCCAGUACCAGCACAUCGAGGUGAGCUGCCACGCUGUGAGUGGUGUGAGCUGGGAAAAUGAGCUUUGGCUCUCCAUCUCCAGGAACGCAGAGGACCAAAAGCAGCUUCCUUGUCUGCCUGGGUCUGGUUGGACUCUGAAUCCAGCUGAUCUACAGGAGGAAGGUCAUGCGUUCCCAGGGAGGUCGAGUCACGUUGCUCCAGGGUUUAUGGUUUAUCCCUGCAGAUAGCUGAAGUCCCCCCUGCCAGAUAUGCUUUCUAAUCAAAGGGUUUGGUGAGAGCCCUCAAAGAGCAGCAGGCUGGAGAGCCGGAGGAAGUCCGUCUACCCAGAACUCACUCUCUUGCCCCCACACUGCUCAACAUGGAAGAACACUCCAAGAACCUGCUUUCCAGUGAUCAAUGGGGGAGGGCCCAGCUGGAUUCUGUAAGAAGCUGGGCUGAGUGAGCCGUGUAAAGCAAGCCAGUAAGUAGCACUCCUCCACAGCCUCUUCAUCAACUCCUGCCUCCAGGAUCCUGCCCUGUUUGAGUUCCUGUCCUGACUUCCUUCUGAGAUGAACAACAAUGCUGAAGUGGCUCUAGGUGAUACUGGCCCCGUGGCAGUGAAUGAAGACUCUGAAUGUGUCCCUUGACACUGAACAGCACAGGCCUCGGAGGCGCAGACCAGAGUCCCUCCUCCUUCACUCCACCCUCCUCCACAGAGUUAGAUUCACCUUGUGCCUUGUGCCAUGCUGGGACCAUCUGAGACCUACAGGUGGUAGCGUCUACUUCCUCUCGUUCUGUGUGGGCACAGAUGAGCCUAAGACUCAGAGAGGCCUGGAGGCCCUAUCAGGACAUCAGCACCACGGACAGCAACACAGCCUCUGGGAAGCUGCCAAAGGAAUUCACUAAUGCGUCGGACUAUUUUUCCUACCUAUAGAGACUCUUACACAAGGAAGCUUGCCUGGGAAAUGCAACCGAUUGUUUUCUAAUAGUAAAACACAAGGUUUAGGGUGGGGGUGGGGGACAGUUAAUGUGGCCUGAGUAGAGGAAAUAAAUGUGUUUCUUAUCUUUUUCCACCAGCUGGUUCCAGGCUCUUCUCCUUUGACAUUAUUAAAAGCCUGGCAGGUACUUUGAAUGUUUGUUUCCAUCAAGUUUCCUUGCCACUUUAAUCUGCAAAUACUCCCGGCUAAUUUCCUUUCCUGAGUGUUGUAUGUUGCCUAGCCACUAAAUUUUCCCAGCCUCGCCUGCCCAGCAACCAGGUAAAUGGAUAAGAUAUGUUAUGAGUGGGCAGGACAUUCCCAAUGGACUCCUGUCUGCUCUAGUCAUUUUAAAAAGAGACAUGCUCAGGUCAUGAGUGGGUCCUGGAGGAGAAGAGAAAGGCACAGCAAAGCCAAGUGAAGUCAUGCCUAUCCUCAAAGAGACUGAGCCUUCCACAGGAUGGGAAGGGACAGCAAAACAAAAUAAAAAAGAAGGAGAU